UUGAACGCUGGCGGCAGGCCUAACACCUGCAGGUCGAGCGGUUGAAGGGAGCUUGCUCCUGGAUUCAGCGGCGGACGGGUGAGUAAUGCCUAGGAAUCUGCCUGGUAGUGGGGGAUAACGUCCGGAAACGGGCGCUAAUACCGCAUACGUCCUGAGGGAGAAAGUGGGGGAUCUUCGGACCUCACGCUAUCAGAUGAGCCUAGGUCGGAUUAGCUAGUUGGUGGGGUAAAGGCCUACCAAGGCGACGAUCCGUAACUGGUCUGAGAGGAUGAUCAGUCACACUGGAACUGAGACACGGUCCAGACCCCUACGGGAGGCAGCAGUGGGGAAUAUUGGACAAUGGGCGAAAGCCUGAUCCAGCCAUGCCGCGUGUGUGAAGAAGGUCUUCGGAUUGUAAAGCACUUUAAGUUGGGAGGAAGGGCAGUAAGUUAAUACCUUGCUGUUUUGACGUUACCAACAGAAUAAGCACCGGCUAACUUCGUG
rnacentral:rRNA from 1 species